GGUUGCUUCAGUGAACAUUCAACGCUGUCGGUGAGUUUGGAAUUCAAAUAAAAACCAUCGACCGUUGAUUGUACCCUAUAGCUAACC
ensembl:miRNA Mir181a microRNA mir-181a